UACGGAGGAUCCAAGCGUUAUCCGGAUUUAUUGGGUUUAAAGGGUGCGUAGGCGGAUUGAUAAGUUAGAGGUGAAAUGUCCGAGUUCAACUCGGGAACUGCCUCUAAUACUGUUGAUCUAGAGAGUAGAUGCGGUAGGCGGAAUGUAUGGUGUAGCGGUGAAAUGCUUAGAGAUCAUACAGAACACCGAUUGCGAAGGCAGCUUACCAAUCUAUAUCUGACGUUGAGGCACGAAAGCGUGGGGAGCAAACAGG
rnacentral:rRNA from 1 species